GCUGAUAGCAGAGAUAAAUUGAUUUUCAGUUUGCAGCAUUUUUUUUGCAUUUUUCAGAUGAACUGCUGCUUUGAGAGUCAACUUUUUCAUUAAUUGAGGUAAUUUCUCUGGUCGUCAUCUUGAAACAUUCACAAGGAUUGAAUGUGGCUCCUACAGGAAUGUAUCUUUUAAAAUAUGAUCAUUCAAUCUUAUCUUUAUUUGAUCAACAUUCAGGAAAUUAGUCAUCUAACUACUUUAUGAGUGACAUAUUUUCCGCUUCAUCUUUGUGCAUCUUUCUAUGAAUCUGUAGCAUCAGUGUACAAACCUCCGGUCAUAUUACAUCAAUAUAUAUGGUGCAAAAGUUUUCCUUUGAAUAUGAAUCAAUCUUUUAUAUAAUUACAAGAUUUUAAGGACUACUUUACGCCUUUAAACUCCCCUGCCACUCCUUUAUCACCCACCUCUGUCUUGUUUUGCUGCAAACAGUAGAUAAUAGAAAGCAGCCUGAAAAAGACCUAAUUCCCACUUACCUGGCACUCAAACAUGGAUUUCCAGUUUCCUGUUCUGUAGAUAUGAUUACACCUAGAUUGAAGGCACCUCUUCCAGACACUGGAAAGACUAUUACAGACCGCUAUUCAGGUUCAGGCUCUGACUCUCCGCAGGUAUCGCCAAGGAUGAACCUCUUAAGCUGCUUUUCACCGGGCUAACAAAACAGAAAUAUGUCCUGAGAUGAGCCAAUGAAUAGAUCUACAGGAGGCUUUGGUGCUCUAAUCAACACAUGUCCCCACUUGAGAAGAGAUGAGAAAAAUGGGUGAUGAGACAACGUACAGUAUCUGUCAGAGUCACAUAAGAGAAUACGUUGCUGUGACGCGCUCUGAAAACAGCUGAGGUCUUCUAAAAACUGAGGAAAUUUAGUAAAUUAGAGCGCACACAAUAGCAACAAACCUAAUAUUUUACACGGGUCUGCAAAUGUGCAGAACCUGCCAAGUGUCCAAGAGGGUAAUUGAAUGAAUCUGUGAUUAAAUGAGCGAGGCAUGAGUUUCGUCACAGUCCUCUAAAUUAAUCCUUGCACCCCUGAUUUGCAUGCAUUCAAAUGCACAUUGUCAUCAGAAAGACGACUACAACAUGCAUGGAAAUGAUUGCUAGUGACUUGCCAACACCAGCCCUUCUAUUUAAUCCCCAGCUCCUGGCCUCGGGCCAUGGCGGGAAUGUGUACUGGAGGACGGCCGCGUGCCCUCUCUCAGCUGCCUCCUAAUCUUACCCCCAGCCACAGGCUCGCUGCGACCCCUCGGCCCUGCCUGUGCGGUCCAGCCAAUCUUUUUUUUUCCUCUGGUUCUCUCCUGCCCCCUAAAGCACAAAACAUAGAAUCAGCCUGUGAUGGUCAAUCUUUUGAUUUCCUGAAGCAUUUUUAGAAUAAGGCAGGUGGAAAAUGCAACGUACAGUUUCAUAUGGAUACUCUUCUAAUGCAUUAACUACAGUAUGCUAUAGGAUGAAACUUCAGGUUACAAAAAAUUGGUUUUGACUGUAAUCUUCCUCAUUGUUACAUGGAUGCCACCAGAUGAUAGAAGAGGGAGAAAUAGCGCUUGGCAAUCAAAUAUUCCCAUGUCGUUGGUUUGCUGGCUUGCUUCUUUGAACCUUCUCGAUUCACAUGCAUUCCUCUCCCAAUAGGAGCUGUCACUUUGUGUGGACAUUGUCCCUUCAGUGUGUGUGGCUAUAGGGAGCGUCUGAUGUCCACUCUGGGCCACUUGUCUAUGAUGUGAAUGGGAAGACAAUGAGACCCCCAGUGGCUCCCUCUCUCCAUGACCCGCCUGGGGUCUGAUUUGCCUUGGCAAGGGGGACAGAGGCCCAAAACAAAGCUGAAGGAGUCUCCAGUAAAGGGGUGCAGAGGUCAGCCCCAACGCCCAACUAACAGGCCCGUCCUCUAGUUUGCGCUCCUAAAUGGAGAAGGGACACAGAGACGUAGAGACAAUGGGAUAAAAGGGACCUCCAAAACCAUUAAAUUCUGAGGAAGUGAUGGCCGUGAAUGAUGACAGAGAGUGAAUAGAGACUCUUGAGGUGGGAGGUACGCUCCAUUAAUGACCAUGGAUGCUCCAUUAUGGCAGCCUUGGGAGGUGGUGAUGAGGUGGUACAUUUUUUCCCAUUAGGCCUCUCUUCUCCGAAUGAGGAGACAAUUCCAGAUUGAUGCAGGAAUCCUGGUCAGGCCUGUAUAGACCCCCGCUGUGAACCUCAGCACAGGGGGGACAACGUGACACUGGCCGUGCCCCUCAGAGGAACACACUACAAGGAGGUGCUACGAUGCCAGAGCUUUUCUAAAUUCAGAGUCCAGGGAAAUCCAAUAUGCUACACUAACAGAAGGAGCAAACAAGACCUCUAUCAGAAGGAUCUGUUUUCGAAAGAUUGCACUGUAUCUGUGUUAUAACCCAACUACAGUGCAUGCUUCUUGUUUAAGGGCCUUUGUUUGUUAAUUAAAUUGGGAAUUUGCUUUUGUGUCCAGUGCACUGCAGCAUACAUAAUUUAAUUUUCCAUCCGUAAUAACCCCCGCCCCCCGACCAUGACUGGUGUCAUGGCCCUGUAACGGGGUAACGAGACUUGCUUUUGAUUCAGCUGUAAUUAAAGUGGACUGAUGGACAAUUAGUUUGGUCUAAUUUCCAGGACGGCACUGGUCUUAUUCUCACCUUUGAACUGCAGGGCUUGACACCAGUCUGACCCGCUCUGCUCAAUCUAUAGACGGCUGUGUCGGGGUCAGCGGGGUGGAGAGGUCAUCCGUACUUUGAUAGGCCUUUGAUUUGUCAAAGGCUUGUUUGCAGCGAUUUGACAGAUGUGCAUUCAUUGGUUUUUGUUGUCACUUAAAUGUUUAAUGUUGCUUCAGUGACACGGGUGAAACGACUUUGAAUCAGCCUACAAACAGAUAAGAAAUUUAGAAAAAAAAGAGAUGCUUAGGUUGAGAAUCCUUAACAUUUUCUUUGUAUGUGACUAUAUUUAGAGCCUGUUUUAACCACAUUGAUGGACCAAAUUUAACUGCAAAUUAUUCCUAAUUUGCUCCAUGUUCAUUUUCUUUUUAAUUAUGCAAAGACACAGAUUAGACCCUGCAGUUGUCUGGUGGUGGUGUUAACCUCCAGACUACAGAGGUUAAACCUUUGACUAUAGAGACUCUGGAGCCAGAAGCAGCAAGUUUCCCUUUGCAUAAAAGUCUGCAGAAUAGUGCUGCUUUCAGUUUGGUGUUGAUUCCUUAAACACAUACAGUAUGUUCACCAAUUAUCUAAAAAGCUGGUGUUUGGAUUCAAAAUGGCUCACAUGGUGCAUGAGCUGAAUGUGUACAAUUUAAGUUAAAUAACCAGUGACACUCUUACUAAUAAAGGCUGCCCUUUAUCUUCAUUAAGGAAAGCUGACCUAUAUGUGCUCCCAUUGUUUUGUCGGCCUCAUUAAGGUCUUCAUGUCAGCUCAUCUCCCCCAUGUCUCGGCUCCAAAAUUAAAGAAAAGACUCCGUUACCUAAAAUUUAUGGUUCAAGUUUUUAUUCAUUUAAUCAAGAUGAAGGACAUUAAAUUCAACAUUGAAACAUAGACAUUUGCCUGCAACAUACAACUACACGUUAUUAGAAAAAUGUGGCCAAUGAAGUGUACUAAUAUGCUCAUUAGAUGUUUUAUCAUAUUAAAUCACCUCAAACAUCUUGUGAGAUCCUUAAAGGAAAUCAUCACAAUUGCUUCUAAAUUCAUGCUAUUACCUCCUCCGUUUUAAGGAUUUUCAGUCUAUUGAACAUAGUAUGUAAAUAUGUACAUGCACAUGUCAUCAGAUGUUCAGGGUUUACGGUCAGAGCACACAAAUACAAAGUAAGUCGUGUGGAAACAAAUGAGCAUUGAACAGCAAUCGAGGCAAUCAGCUUCCCCUUGAUACAGAUCGUUGUAGGCGCUUGUUUAAGACUCUUUUGAGAGAGACACUUUCAAUUAAAAGCAGCCCUUAGGAGGUUUUGGGCUGCUGGAGUGAAAGAAAAUACCUUCAAUCUAAAAAUGUGGAAGUAAAAGUUUCAUCCAAAAUAUUUCACAGUGAAAUAUACAUUAAGGUGACAACAGCAUCUUUAAGUAACUGAAUGAUGGGGUCAUAGCAACCAAGUGAAUCACACAUGGUCAAGUUACAGGACAUUUACAUUGUCCUCUUCCUAUAUUUAGGUCUGUUGUUUAAAGCUGCACCACACAGACUCUCAACACAUGGCUUACUGAGAAGUCAAAGCCAGUAAAAUUGAAAUUCACAUGACGAGACAACAUGAGCUGUAUCGUUGAGGACCAGCCUCACAGUUAUAAGCUGUUUGCAUCCUGACAAAAAUGACAACGUGCUAUUCCAGAGAGAAGCUAUAGAAGAAGAAAAUCUGACACGAGCUGUGAAAUCCUGACAUAUGCUGUUACACAGAGAAGGAACCCCUCGCAACGCUGGAAUUUAUUCACAUCACGUGUGCCUUUCUUUGUUGAGUUAUAUCCUAUUCUGAGAAAACAUUGAGAUACUGUAAGACCACAUCUGGACAACAGCAGCAACAACGGCUACUCAUCUGUUUCUGAAGAUUAGCACAAGGGUUAACUGUACCAGCACAGGACAAGACAUUUCUUUGAAAUUAAAGAGGAUGAAGGAUCCCACUUGUAUGGCCUUGAUUUACGUGUAGUCAGCAGCUCUCAAGGGUGCAGUGAUGUAACAGGAUGGAUAUGCACCUAGAGGUCCUGCAGGCCAUGAGAACGUACAGCCAACACAAACACAGACAGAUACUUUAAACAGUAGAUCAAGACAGCUAAAAACUGUCAUGAGAACAUUAGGAUUUUAAUUAUACUUUCACACUUUUUAGAUCAAAACAAGAUCCCACAAGGUGCAGCCAAUACUGCACUUCAAAGCUAGUACAGUAACAUAUUUUGUCAAAACUGACAGACCAGUAUUUCCAAUAGUAUUUCCUUGAGACAGCAUGUAAAAUUCUCACUGAGAGACAGACAACUGGACAGCUAAAGCAGAAGAGUUAUCAAGUGAAAAACAAUAGCUGUUAGCUGCUGAGAUAAAGCCACGGCUAGCCUUAGCUAAAGCUAGCACUUAUUUACUUAAUGAUUUUUCCCUAACUGUAACAACUGAAAAAUAUCCACUUUAAUGAAGAUCUUGGUAUUUUUGUUGGUUAUUUUACAAAUAGGCAGCAUGUAAAUUCAAACAU